CUUGGACAAAGGGUUGUCACCAGUUCUGAAUCUGGCUGUGAUCCCAAAGCAGCGUGUAUGUGAAGGUUGCUCACUUAGUGGAGACAUGUCAUCUGGCAACCUCUACUGCUUGUCCUGUGAGAGUACUGUCAUUCACUUGGCUGUGAUGACUCCUAGAGAUAUGGGUGAUAUCAUUCCAAGGGAGUGAUCCUGCAUCAUUUUUUUUGAACUGGUCAAAGAGGAUGUUCUAUUGGGUAGAGAGAGUGGCCUGUCCUUACAGAGCAUGGACCCAACUGGCAAGAAUAUAGGAGAGAAAAAUGAUUCAAAGACAGUAAGGCUAUCCUUAUACACUGAAUCAAGCAGCAUCUUUUGGACUACCAGAGAUUUUAAUAAGACUGGAAUGAUGAGCCAGGCCCUUGGAAUGAGAUGGAAGUAUUCUACAACCUAGAUCUCACAAGUGGAAUUCAAUCGAAUGGGCCUGGAUCUUCAGAUGAAAAUUGUCCAAAGCAGGUCCAGUGGAGAAGUGGGUCUUCAGUCCUCUGUUCUAGCUGCCAGCAGCCAGUCCAAACAGGAUUCCUCUUUCUUCAACUAGUAUCACCAAAAGCCAGAAACCUGUUGUCAAACCUCCAACCCGAGGUCCUUCAGGAGAGAAGUGCCAAGACUGUUGGGACCUUAGAAUCUUUACCCAGAUCUUGACCCUUAGGCUCCCAUGUGACUGUCACAUGCUCUUGUCAUUUCUUUUUGUACGUUUCCCUUUCUUUGAUCUCUUUGGGGUCAUGGGUCUAAUAGUGUUGCUGUUGGAUUAAAGGAUAUGCACAAUUUAGUAACAUUUUGUGAACACGUCGGGGCUACUUUUCGAAAUGGCUAUAUAUCUAUUCAGUUCUACCAACAAUGCAUUAAUGUGCCUAUGCAAAAUAUAUUAUGUAGGAUACAUAAGAGCCUUUGUCGACUCAGAUUUUUGCCUCUACAUAUUUACCAACUCUGGAUGAUCUUAGAUGCAUGACUUUCAAAGUUUGUCAGGGCUGGGGAGGCUACAAGGUGAAGUCAGUACUAACUGCCAUUCAGAGAGAACGUGGGGUUGGGGAGAAGUACAAGAAUCCUUUCCACAGCACAGUGGGGGUUGGGGUGUGGCAAUCUAGAAAAUCCCACAUAAAAUAUUUUGUCCCGCCCCCCCCCCUUCAUACCAGAGAAGUCUGAAUAUUUUCUUUUUCUUUUAUGGGUUGUUACCUUCUUGUGAAAUCUGGGUUAAGAAUUUGGUCAUAGGCAAUAUAAUUUCUAAGCUUUUUCUGUCAUCCACUGACCUUUGCGUGUCAUCUGGGGCUUCUACCAAACUCCCUGCAAAUUGCCAUUUAGUUGAUUAUGCUGACAUGGAACAUAUCAAAAUCAUGAUGGGGUAGUAGUGAUGUGGAAGGGAUAUCUGCACUUUGUGAAGCAACAGAUAGGUGAACUAGGGGCUAGUGGUCUUAUAUUUGAGAUUUUCUUGCCACAGAUAGAGUGAUUGCCUCAGUCUCCUCAUAUGUAAAAUGAGCUGCAGAAGGAAAUGGUCGAGGGCUAAGUGACUUGUCUGAGGCCACAUUUGAACUCAAGAAAAUGACUCUCCCUGAUUUAAGACCCGGCACUUUAUCUACUAUAUCACCUGGUCUACCCUGACCCCCCCUCCACCCCCUUCCCCCUUCCCAUGGUCUCAUUACAUUUC
ensembl:lncRNA